GACGAACGCUGGCGGCGUGCCUAAUACAUGCAAGUCGAACGCUUCUUUCCUCCCGAGUGCUUGCACUCAAUUGGAAAGAGGAGUGGCGGACGGGUGAGUAACACGUGGGUAACCUACCCAUCAGAGGGGGAUAACACUUGGAAACAGGUGCUAAUACCGCAUAACAGUUUAUGCCGCAUGGCAUAAGAGUGAAAGGCGCUUUCGGGUGUCGCUGAUGGAUGGACCCGCGGUGCAUUAGCUAGUUGGUGAGGUAACGGCUCACCAAGGCCACGAUGCAUAGCCGACCUCAGAGGGGGAUCGGCCACCCUGGGGCUGAGACACGGCCCAUACUCCUACGGGAGGCAGCAGUAGGGAAUCGUCGGCAAUGGACGAAAGUCUGACCGAGCAACGCCGCGUGAGUGAAGAAGGUUUUCGGAUCGUAAAACUCUGUUGUUAGAGAAGAACAAGGACGUUAGUAACUGAACGUCCCCUGACGGUAUCUAACCAGAAAGCCACGGCUAACUACGUG
rnacentral:rRNA from 1 species